rnacentral:rRNA from 1 species
UGCAGUCGAACGAACCUUCGGGUUAGUGGCGGACGGGUGAGUAACGUGAGAGAAUCUGCCCUCAGGAGGGGGAUAACAGUUGGAAACGACUGCUAAUACCCCAUAUGCCGAGAGGUGAAACGAAUUUUGCCUGGGGAUGACUCUUUUCUGAUUAGCUUGUUAAAAGGGCUAAAAGCCUACCAAGGCUUCGAUCAGUAGCUGGUCUGACAGGACGAUCAGCCACACUGGGACUGAGAUACGGCCCAGACUCCUACGGGAGGCAGCAGUGGGGAAUUUUCCGCAAUGGGCGCAAGCCUGACGGAGCAACGCCGCGUGAGGGAUGAAGGCCUUUGGGCUGUAAACCUCUUUUCUCCCGGAAGAAGAUCUGACGGUACUUGAGGAAUAAUUUAAGCCACGGCUAAUUCCGUGCCAGCAGCCGCGGUAAUACGGGAGUGGCAAGCGUUAUCCGGAAUUAUUGGGCGUAAAGCGUCCGCAGGCGGCCGUUUAAGUCUGUUGUUAAAUCGUGGAGCUCAACUCCAUCACGGCAAUGGAAAACUGUUCGGCUUGAGUAUGGUAGGGGCAGAGGGAAUUUCCCGGUGUACCGGUGAAAUGCGUAGAUAUCGGGAAGAAACACCAGGUGGCAAAAGCGCUCUGCUGGGGCCAUUUACUGAACCCUCAUGGGACGAAAGCCAGGGGACCCGAAGGGGAUUAGAUUACCCCCUGUAGUCCCUGGCCGUAAAA